CCUGUGUGUUCCUUAAGGUUCUGUCCUUACAGCUUCACUUUCCACUCUCUCUCCUCAUUACAUCAGAGAUUAUAUUUACUGACCUGUCUUCAUCAUGGGUCCCAGUCUUGGGUGAUACAUGUGGGAGUCAGAACAGCAAUUCACAAAUGGCAGUUCUUUUGCCCUGGGCCCAUGUAGGAUUAUUUUUGCACAUUCUUCUGAUCUCAGGGAUGAUCUUGUAACUUACUUUGUCAAUGAAAUAUGAGGAGAAAAACAAGGCAUGCGUCACUUCCAGGCAGCCAUUUUAUGAACUAGUGCUUGCUUGGCUAUGCUCCCCUCACUCACUCUCCAUGUUUACUGAGAAUUUGCCAAGAUGGAGCCUCCGUGAAACUGUAUCCUCCCUGAGUAAUUAGGAUGAACAGAAUCUCCCUGCUGAAUUACAGCAGCUAUAGAAUUGUGAGUUAUAAAUAAGCACCACUAUUUCAAGCCACUGGGAUUUUUAUUACUGCUUGUUAUGGCAGCAUAACCUGGUCUAUCCUGACUGAUACAGCACCUCAAUCUGACUUUUUUCUCAAGAUCAACCUCCACUUCUCCGGCUGCCUUCAAGAGUUCAUUCUAGCUUUACUUACAGAAGGGUAAGCCCAGCCUAUCUAUACUUAUAUUCAUCAUUUUCUUCCCCAGCUCUGAAAUGUACCUCUCCCCCUGACUCUUAUGUUUUGGUUAAUGGCACCAACAUUCUUCUCAAAACCUAAAUGAUAUACAAUCAGUUACCACAUUUUGUCCCUGCUUUAUUUACACCCUGCUUUAUUAUUCCACAGGUGCUUCCUGGGUCAGUCCUAGACUAUUACACUCUUGGGUCAUUCUUAGACUACUACAUUCCUGGGUCAGUUCCUGGGUCAGUCCUACACUGGUACACCUCUUGAGUCAUCUCACUGCUUCCAUUCUCUUCACUUUUUUUCUCUUCUGAGCCCUUGGGUACUUGCUCUUCUUGACUGUUUUCUGUCACAGUAACUUCUGCAGAAGUCUCCUCUCUCCUAUAGUAAGCUUUUCUCCUUGAAGUCACCAUAUCCUGAACACCUUUGGCUUCCCCACAGAGCACAGUUCCUAAGUUUUGUUGUUUUUCCAUAAGCAUUAGUUGAGUGAAGAAGCACCAGGACAUGGCCCUAAUUCACAGAAAAUUUGAGUGACUAAGCAAAGUGAAUGCCUGUGGGAAUUUCACAAUUUGACAAAACAGAGAGCUCUAUCAAGUCUAGGCAAUAAUUAGUGUUGUUGUUUUUUGGUCUCACAUGUAAUAAAAAAUGGGCCAUCAGUGGGUUAUGCAACUUCAUUUCAUGUGAAUUAAAGAUGUACUGCUGGUGAUAAUAACCACCUAAACAUUAGAAACAUCUGUGGCUCACCAUUGUUAGCUCUUUCCCAGUACAGUUUAUUAAGGAAAUACUGUCAUAUCCCAACUGCCUACUUAAGGCUGUUUAUUUAUAGCACAGUAAGUUCUGGAGGAGUAACUGGAAAGCCCCAAAUCUCCCUACUGUCAUUUUUUUUUCAAGAAAAAAAAAUCGCUAUUACUGAAAUGGCUCCUUUAUAACCUUCUCCUUGCUUUUGGAUAUCAGCUUCCUAGCAUACACGUUCAACCUUGGGAAUAUGGACAACUGAGUGUUGUAAUGAGGACCCACAGAGCCGAUGACUCUCUUAAGGAUACAUCCAGAGAAGCUGCGUGACCGGAAAGUGAGGAUCUGCCUUCAAGGAUUCUGAGGCCGCCCUCCUCCCAUCUAGAGCUGACUUCCAGGAGCUGGGACUUCCCCUGCCAUUGCUGAUGCUCCAGGACACCAGAGCCAGCCCAUCUGGAGCGAACCCUCCCAGGGUAAUUAAAGUCCUAGCUUUUGGAUGACUGCCCAGCUCUGUCUGCCCAGCUGCUCCCUUCUGGCAAGGCCCUGAGCUGUCUUUACUGCUGGAGAUUUCUCGCUGGGGUCUUUCUUGCAUGCAGCCCAGAGAGUGGGCAGCUGAAUCCAUGUGGGUUCCUUUAUCUCCAGGGGAGACUGGACAAGGUCUGCUCUGAGGGAGCUCAGCAGAACCACCUCCAAAUCCAGCAGCCAGUGUCCCCAUUUGGCCCUGAAUUCGAGAGGGAACAAUUUGUUUCCUUAGAGGCGCUUGUACUUUUGAUGAGAAAGACCAAAAAGGAUUGAAACACUUUUUGAGACCUUCUAAUUAAUUGCUUAUGCUCAUAAUGGUUGGCAUUUGUGAGCACUUAUUUUAUACCUUCAUGGCUCUGUGGGUUCUACAGACAUUAUCUCAUUUAACCCCUAUGACAACCCAAUGCACUGGGUAAUUUUACUAGCUCUAUUUUGCAGCUGUGGGUGGUGAGAUUCAGAAUAUAAAUGAUAUUGUCAAGGCUGAACAGCGAGUUAGAGCAAAGCCAGGAACCAGCCAGUAGAGUAUAAUUCUAAAACAAACAAACAAAAACCCAAACUGGUUGGUUAAGUAGAAGUUAGUCAUUUACACUCUUGGGAGUAAGUCAUCAUUUCAUUUUAUAUUUAUGACAGUGAGCAAAGAAGAUAUUGGUCAUUAUCAGACAUGGAUCCUAGAGCUUUAACUGAUGUGUUGAAAAAGAGGAGGAUAUAAAGAUGAUUCUCUGGCAAGAGUGGUGAUGGCUAAAGAGGCAUGCAAAACCCCAGGGAAAACAAAUCACUCUAAUGUUUGUUUUUGUCUCACAAGGAAAAAAGCAGAAAGAAAGGCAGACAAAAAUGAAAAAUAUAUAAAUGAAAACCAUCUAGUUACAGAGAGGCUGCACUGAUGAGAUAAAGAGGUCCACGUAUCUCCACUGAUGAGAUAAGGCUCUGGUGAGAAAAAGAGGAGGUUGGGGCCCUUAAGUGAGGACAGAUAGCAUGGGGGCAGGAACCUGUAGGGAGAGUGGCAGAGGGCUGAAGAUUAGAAUACAGGGAGGCUAGGAAAAUGCUGCAGAUAAUAAAAAUGGCUCUUUUAGGUUUUGGGGGGCCAAGGAGUUGUCAAAGGAAGAGGCAGACCCACUGCUUAGAGGUAAUGGUGGAAAAAAAUGCUAAAGCAUCUUCUGUACCUCUCUUGUUCCUCUUGUUCUCAACUGGGAGAAGAGUCUUUAACUGGAAGUGGCAGAACAAAACAAAACCAAAAAACAAAAACAAACAACCCCCCCCCCAAACCUCAACAAC